rnacentral:rRNA from 1 species
AGAGUUUGAUCCUGGCUCAGGACGAACGCUGGCGGCGUGCUUAACACAUGCAAGUCGAGCGAGGUUAGCAGGAUGAGGCUUCGGCGGAUGAGAGCUAAUCGAGCGGCGGACGGGUGAGUAACGCGUGAACAAUCUGUCCCGGACAGGGGGAUACCCGAUGGAAACAUCGGCUAAUACCGCAUAAGACCACAGUGUCGCAUGGCACAGGGGUAAAAGAACUUCGGUUCGGGGUGAGUUCGCGUCUGAUUAGCUUGUUGGCGGGGUAACGGCCCACCAAGGCGACGAUCAGUAGGGGUUCUGAGAGGAAGGUCCCCCACAUUGGAACUGAGACACGGUCCAAACUCCUACGGGAGGCAGCAGUGAGGAAUAUUGGUCAAUGGGCGAGAGCCUGAACCAGCCAAGUCGCGUGAAGGAUGAAGGUUCUAUGGAUUGUAAACUUCUUUUGUCUGAGGGUAAAGUGAGAGUCGUGACUCUUAUUGCAAGUAUCAGACGAAUAAGCAUCGGCUAACUCCGUGCCAGCAGCCGCGGUAAUACGGAGGAUGCGAGCGUUAUCCGGAUUUAUUGGGUUUAAAGGGUGCGUAGGCGGAGAAUUAAGUCUGUGGUGAAAGCGUGCGGCUCAACCGUACCAAGCCAUGGAAACUGGUUUUCUUGAGUGUAAACGAGGUAGGCGGAAUAUGACGUGUAGCGGUGAAAUGCUUAGAUAUGUCAUAGAACCCCGAUUGCGAAGGCAGCUUACCAGCAUACAACUGACGCUGAGGCACGAAAGCGUGGGGUAUCAAACAGGAUUAGAUACCCUGGUAGUCCACGCAGUAAACGAUGAAUACUAGCUGUUGGCGAUAUAAUGUCAGCGGUAAAGCGAAAGUGUUAAGUAUUCCACCUGGGGAGUACGCCGGCAACGGUGAAACUCAAAGGAAUUGACGGGGGCCCGCACAAGCGGAGGAACAUGUGGUUUAAUUCGAUGAUACGCGAGGAACCUUACCCGGGCUUGAAAGUUAGUGACGGCAGCUGAAAGGCUGCUUCCCUUCGGGGCACGAAACUAGGUGCUGCAUGGUUGUCGUCAGCUCGUGCCGUGAGGUGUCGGCUUAAGUGCCAUAACGAGCGCAACCCUUUUCCAUAGUUGCCAUCAUUCAGUUGGGAACUCUAUGGACACUGCCAUCGCAAGAUGUGAGGAAGGAUGGGAUGACGUCAAAUCAGCACGGCCCUUACGUCCGGGGCGACACACGUGUUACAAUGGGGAGGACAGAAAGGAUCGAGGCGGGGACGCUGAGGGAAUCUCGAAACCUUCUCCCAGUUCGGAUUGGAGUCUGCAACCCGACUCCAUGAAGCUGGAUUCGCUAGUAAUCGCGCAUCAGCCAUGGCGCGGGGAAUACGUUCCCGGGCCUUGCACACACCGCCCGUCA